rnacentral:misc_RNA from 1 species
CCAACUCCACACAAGAUCACCCCAAAUUCACUCUAGCUAGUUCACUUGAACAGUAAUUAUAGUAUAUCAAUGAUGGAAGUUUGCAUGAACAAUGACAAGGUAAUAAAUUUCCACUCUCUCGCAUAUCAAUGACAGCUGAAAUCUGAGGGAUUUGAGAAAGAGUUUAAUGUUUGCAAAAGGAGAAAAUAAAAUUAACAUGGGAAAAUAAAACAUGCUGGUGGAGUUUUUAUGUGUGUAGUUUCAACAGUC